ACCCUGCAGAUCCCUUUCCCACCUGAUCUAAACAUGGGUCUGAACGGUUCUAAAAGGGGGAAAAGUAAACCUGAAAGUGACGGCCAUUCUUUGUGACACAUGAGCUAAUUUCAAACAAAU
ensembl:snoRNA